GAUGAACGCUAGCUACAGGCUUAACACAUGCAAGUCGAGGGGAAACGGCAUUAAGUGCUUGCACUUUUUGGACGUCGACCGGCGCACGGGUGAGUAACGCGUAUCCAACCUUCCCAUGACUAAGGGAUAACCUGCCGAAAGGCAGACUAAUACCUUAUGGUCUUCACUGACGGCAUCAGAUGUGAAGUAAAGAUUUAUCGGUUAUGGAUGGGGAUGCGUCUGAUUAGCUUGUUGGCGGGGUAACGGCCCACCAAGGCAACGAUCAGUAGGGGUUCUGAGAGGAAGGUCCCCCACAUUGGAACUGAGACACGGUCCAAACUCCUACGGGAGGCAGCAGUGAGGAAGAUUGGUCAAUGGGCGAGAGCCUGAACCAGCCAAGUAGCGUGCAGGAUGACGGCCCUAUGGGUUGUAAACUGCUUUUGUAUGGGGAUAAAGUCAAUCACGUGUGAUUGUUUGCAGGUACCAUACGAAUAAGAACCGGCUAAUUCCGUG
rnacentral:rRNA from 1 species